GGGGAAACCCUGAUCCAGCAAUGCCGCGUGUGUGAUGAAGGUCUUCGGAUUGUAAAGUACUUUUAUUGGUGACGAUGAUGACGGUAACCAAUGAAUAAGCUCCGGCUAACUUCGUGCCAGCAGCCGCGGUAAUACGAAGGGAGCUAGCGUUGUUCGGAAUAACUGGGCGUAAAGGGUGCGUAGGUGGGCGUGUGCGUUAGAUGUGAAAUCCCCGGGCUUAACCUGGGAACUGCAUUUAAUACGGCACGUCUAGAGUGCGAGAGGGGAAAGCGGAAUGGCGAGUGGAGCAGUGAAAUGCAUUGAGAUUCGCUAGAACACCAGAGGCGAAGGCGGCUUUCUGGCUCGCUACUGACACUAAGGCACGAAAGCGUGGGGAGCAAACAGGAUUAGAUACCCUGGUAGUCCACGCUGUAAACGAUGGAUGCUAGAUGUUGGUCAGAUUGCUGAUCAGUGUCGGCGCUUACGCAAUAAGCAUCCCGCCUGGGGAGUACGAUCGCAAGAUUAAAACUCAAAGGAAUUGACGG
rnacentral:rRNA from 1 species